rnacentral:rRNA from 1 species
AACGUAGGUGGCAAGCGUUAUCCGGAAUUACUGGGCGUAAAGGGUGUGCAGGCGGGGAAGAAAGGGGUGUAUGAAAUCUCCCAGCUUAACUGGGAUAGGUGAUGCCAGACUGCUUUUCUAGAGGACGAGAGAGGGGGGUGGAAUUCCGGGUGUAGUGGUGAAAUGCGUAGAGAUCCGGAGGAACCCCAGAGGCGAAGGCGGCCCCCUGGCUCGUACCUGACGCUCAGCCACGAAAGCAUGGGGAGCGAACGGG